rnacentral:rRNA from 1 species
AUGUCCAUUCGGCGCUUCUUCCCCGAGGAUUUCCUCGUGCUCUUCCAUGACGGCGCUCUUCGGGAGCGCAUGGUGCGCGCCGGACAUGUGGGGGCGCCCUGGUUCGAGCUCUCUCUGCGCUCAUGGAUUCGGCAGGCUCAGGCGACGGCGGCUUCCUUGCCGUACCUUGUCCCAAUUUCGCUCCGGGGUGUGCCGGCGCAUGCGUGGUGCCGGCAGACUGCCAGUGUGAUCUUGCGUGGACUGGGCUACGUCGUCGGGGUUGACGAGGAUACUGCAGGCAGGAUUGACAUGGCGGACUUCAGAGUCUGGUUGCGCACGGACCGGCCCAAACGGAUCCCCAGCCGACGUCUCCUCUUCAUCGACGAGCCAAGGUGCACACUUUGGUCGGAGGCGGAUGGACAACGGUCGGCAGCCGGGCGUUGCUCAAGCGCGUUCUGGUACCCCAUCGAGAUCCGGGUGCUGCCGGGCGUCAUGGUGGAUGGUGACGGGGCGGCGCCGCCGCCGCCACCGCCACCGCCUCCCUCCGCUCCCACCGGAGACGAUGGCCGUAGCAGGGGGUCCUCUGGUGAUGGAGGUAGGGGAGGCCAUUCUCGCCGCGCCGGUGGUGGCUCGGUGCAUACAGCGGAGUCCUCGACGGCGGCGCCACUGCCGGCGGGUGCGCGCGCGUGCGUUCAAACCGCGCCUGUCUCGGUGAACCCGGUGGUCAACAGCAGCUGUGAUGCUUGCGUCAGAGAUUCCUUCGUGGGUCCGGUGGACCGGCCUUUGGGCGUGGAUAGGCCUGGGGCCGCCAACUGGUCUGGCUCGCAGGUGGCGUCCUGUGCGGCCCCAGUCUGGGCGCUGCAGACCGUUGGUUCAACUGGCCAGAUGGCGACGAAGCAUGGGGAUAGGACAGAGCGCUUUUCAGGUUGUAGGGCCCGGCGCGUCGGGGCUGCUGCCCUCUGCCAGGCAGAGCUUGGUGGAAUCGGCCCAGAUUGGUGGGUUGGUAAUCCCACUGCAGGACAUGUUUAUGGAGGAGCACGAUUCGGUUGGGGUUGGUGCAGCGGUGCAGGUGCUGUCGCUCUCAUGCACGGUUUCGAAUGA